rnacentral:piRNA from 1 species
CUUUAAUUGGGUGACUCUUUG